rnacentral:rRNA from 1 species
UGGGGAAUUUUGCACAAUGGGCGGAAGCCUGAUGCAGCGACGCCGUGUGGGGGAUGAAGGCCUUCGGGUUGUAAACUCCUUUCGUCAGGGACGAAGUUUGUUUGACGGUACCUGGAUAAGAAGCACCGGCUAACUACGUGCCAGCAGCCGCGGUAAUACGUAGGGUGCGAGCGUUGUCCGGAUUUACUGGGCGUAAAGGGCUCGUAGGUGGUGUGUUGCGUCGUCUGUGUAAUCCAGGGGCUUAACUUUUGGUUGGCAGGCGAUACGGGCAUUGCUUGAGUGCUGUAGGGGAGACUGGAAUUCCUGGUGUAGCGGUGAAAUGCGCAGAUAUCAGGAGGAACACCGAUGGCGAAGGCAGGUCUCUGGGCAGUUACUGACGCUGAGGAGCGAGAGCAUGGGUAGCGAACAGGAUUAGAUACCCUGGUAGUCUAUGCUGUAAACGGUGGGCGCUAGGUGUGAGCCUCUUCCACGGGGUUUGUGCCGUAGCUAACGCUUUAAGCGCCCCGCCUGGGGGAGUACGGCCGCAAGGCUA